rnacentral:rRNA from 1 species
AUGAACGCUGGCGGCGUGCUUAACACAUGCAAGUCGAACGAACCUUCGGGUUAGUGGCGGACGGGUGAGUAACGCGUGGGAAUCUGCCCUCAGGAGGGGGAUAACGGCCGGAAACGGCCGCUAAUACCCCAUAUGCCGAGAGGUGAAAUGAAUUUCGCCUGAGGAUGAGCCCGCGUCUGAUUAGCUAGUUGGUGUGGUAAUGGCGCACCAAGGCGACGAUCAGUAGCUGGUCUGAGAGGAUGAUCAGCCACACUGGGACUGAGACACGGCCCAGACUCCUACGGGAGGCAGCAGUGGGGAAUUUUCCGCAAUGGGCGAAAGCCUGACGGAGCAACGCCGCGUGAGGGAUGAAGGCCUCUGGGCUGUAAACCUCUUUUCUCAAGGAAGAAGACAUGACGGUACUUGAGGAAUAAGCCACGGCUAAUUCCGUGCCAGCAGCCGCGGUAAUACGGGAGUGGCAAGCGUUAUCCGGAAUUAUUGGGCGUAAAGCGUCCGCAGGCGGCCUUGUAAGUCUGUCGUUAAAGCGUGGAGCUUAACUCCAUUUCAGCGAUGGAAACUACAAGGCUUGAGUGUGGUAGGGGCAGAGGGAAUUCCCGGUGUAGCGGUGAAAUGCGUAGAUAUCGGGAAGAACACCAGUGGCGAAGGCGCUCUGCUGGGCCAUAACUGACGCUCAUGGACGAAAGCCAGGGGAGCGAAAGGGAUUAGAUACCCCUGUAGUCCUGGCCGUAAACGAUGAACACUAGGUGUCGGGGGAAUCGACCCCCUCGGUGUCGUAGCUAACGCGUUAAGUGUUCCGCCUGGGGAGUACGCACGCAAGUGUGAAACUCAAAGGAAUUGACGGGGGCCCGCACAAGCGGUGGAGUAUGUGGUUUAAUUCGAUGCAACGCGAAGAACCUUACCAGGGUUUGACAUCCUGCGAAUCCCUUGGAAACGAGGGAGUGCCUUCGGGAGCGCAGAGACAGGUGGUGCAUGGCUGUCGUCAGCUCGUGUCGUGAGAUGUUGGGUUAAGUCCCGCAACGAGCGCAACCCACGUCUUUAGUUGCCAGCAUUCAGUUGGGCACUCUAGAGAGACCGCCGGUGAUAAACCGGAGGAAGGUGUGGAUGACGUCAAGUCAUCAUGCCCCUUACAUCCUGGGCUACACACGUACUACAAUGCUACGGACAAAGGGUUGCAAGCUCGCGAGAGUUAGCUAAUCCCAUAAACCGUGGCUCAGUUCAGAUCGUAGGCUGCAACUCGCCUACGUGAAGGAGGAAUCGCUAGUAAUCGCAGGUCAGCAUACUGCGGUGAAUACGUUCCCGGGCCUUGUACACACCGCCCGUCACACCAUGGAAGUUGGCCAUGCCCGAAGUCGUUACUCCAACCCUUGUGGAGGAGGACGCCGAAGGUGGGGCUGAUGACUGGGGUGAAGUCGUAACAAGGUAGCCGUACCGGAAGGUGCGGCUGGAUCACCUCCU